rnacentral:rRNA from 1 species
GGGGUUGACGGUACCCUACUAGAAAGGAGCCGCUAACUUCGAGCCAGAAGCGUCGGUAAUACGGGGGCUCCAAGCGUUAUCCGGUGUUAUUGGGCGUAAAGAGUCGCGUACGUGGUUGGGUAAGUUAUCUUUCAAAUAUCUUUGCUUAACAAAGAGGAGGGGGAUAAUACUGCUCGACUAGAAUUUUCUCAAGGGAGAUCGGAACUGAGGGAGGAGUAGUGAAAUGCGUUGAUACCCUCGGGAACACCAGUGGCGUAGGCGGAUCUCUGGGAGAAGAUUGACACUGAGACACGAAAGCUAGGGGAGCGAAGCAGAUUAGAGACCUGCGUAGUCCUAGCCGUAAACGCAUGCUUGCUAGCUGCAUGAAUCUACCUUCGGGUGGUAUCGUGUGGCGAAGGUAACCCGUUAAGCAAGCCGCCUGGAAAGUACGGCCGCAAGGCUGAAAUUCAAAGGAAUUGGCGGGGAGGCACACAACCAGUGGAACAUGUGGUUUAAUUCGAGACUAACCGAAGAACCUCACCAGGGUUUGACAUGUAGCUGCACGUCUUAAGAAAUUAAGACUCUCUUGAAGGUGCUACACAGGUGCUGCAUGGCUGUCGUCAGCUCGUUCCGUGAGGAGUGCCCUUAAGUGGGACAACGAGCGCAACCCCUAUUACAUGUUAGAAAUGUCAUGUAAGACUGCCUUGCCAUUUGGCGGGGAGGAAGGAGGGGCAGACGUCAAGUCCGCAUGGUCCUUAUGCCCUGGGCUACACACAUGUUACAAUGAGUACGGCAAUGAGUCUGUCGCGAGCACGUAAGUGUAAGCUAAUCUCUUAAAUGUACUCUCAGUGGGGAUUGAGGUCUGCAACUCGACCUCAUGAACACGGAAUUGGUAGUAAUCGCGGGUCAGCUAUACCGCGGUGAUACGUUCUUGCCUCUUGCACACACCGCCCGUCAAACCAGCAAAGUCGAUUGUAUCCGAACCUCUCUUUU